rnacentral:rRNA from 1 species
AUCAUGAGUUCACAUGUCCGCAUGAUUAAAGGUAUUUUCCGGUAGACGAUGGGGAUGCGUUCCAUUAGAUAGUAGGCGGGGUAACGGCCCACCUAGUCAACGAUGGAUAGGGGUUCUGAGAGGAAGGUCCCCCCCAUUGGAACUGAGACACGGUCCAAACUCCUACGGGAGGCAGCAGUGAGGAAUAUUGGUCAAUGGGCGAUGGCCUGAACCAGCCAAGUAGCGUGAAGGAUGACUGCCCUAUGGGUUGUAAACUUCUUUUAUAAAGGAAUAAAGUCGGGUAUGCAUACCCGUUUGCAUGUACUUUAUGAAUAAGGAUCGGCUAACUCCGUGCCAGCAGCCGCGGUAAUACGGAGGAUCCGAGCGUUAUCCGGAUUUAUUGGGUUUAAAGGGAGCGUAGAUGGAUGUUUAAGUCAGUUGUGAAAGUUUGCGGCUCAACCGUAAAAUUGCAGUUGAUACUGGAUGUCUUGAGUGCAGUUGAGGCAGGCGGAAUUCGUGGUGUAGCGGUGAAAUGCUUAGAUAUCACGAAGAACUCCGAUUG